rnacentral:rRNA from 1 species
UACGUAGGGUGCGAGCGUUGUCCGGAAUUAUUGGGCGUAAAGAGCUCGUAGGCGGUCUGUCGCGUCUGCUGUGAAAACCCGGGGCUCAACCCCGGACUUGCAGUGGGUACGGGCAGACUAGAGUGUGGUAGGGGAGACUGGAAUUCCUGGUGUAGCGGUGGAAUGCGCAGAUAUCAGGAGGAACACCGAUGGCGAAGGCAGGUCUCUGGGCCACUACUGACGCUGAGAAGCGAAAGCAUGGGGAGCGAACAGG